rnacentral:rRNA from 1 species
AUACGGAGGGUGCAAGCGUUGUUCGGAAUCACUGGGCGUAAAGGGCGCGCAGGCGGUUUGGUAAGUCAGAUGUGAAAGCCCACGGCUCAACCGUGGAAGUGCAUUUGAAACUGUCAGACUUGAGUACUAGAGGGGAAAGUGGAAUUCCCGGUGUAGAGGUGAAAUUCGUAGAUAUCGGGAGGAAUACCGGUGGCGAAGGCGACUUUCUGGCUAGAUACUGACGCUGAGGCGCGAAAGCGUGGGGAGCAAACAGGAUUAGAAACCCCGGUAGUCC